AUUGAACGCUGGCGGCAUGCCUUACACAUGCAAGUCGAACGGUAACAGGUCUUCGGAUGCUGACGAGUGGCGAACGGGUGAGUAAUACAUCGGAACGUGCCCGAGAGUGGGGGAUAACGAGGCGAAAGCUUUGCUAAUACCGCAUACGAUCUCAGGAUGAAAGCAGGGGACCGCAAGGCCUUACGCUCACGGAGCGGCCGAUGGCAGAUUAGGUAGUUGGUGGGAUAAAAGCUUACCAAGCCGACGAUCUGUAGCUGGUCUGGGAGGACGACCAGCCACACUGGGACUGAGACACGGCCUAGACUCCUACGGGAGGCAGCAGUGGGGAAUUUUGGACAAUGGGCGCAAGCCUGAUCCAGCCAUGCCGCGUGCAGGAUGAAGGCCUUCGGGUUGUAAACUGCUUUUGUACGGAACGAAAAGACUCUGGUUAAUACCUGGGGUCCAUGACGGUACCGUAAGAAUAAGCACCGGCUAACUACGUGCCAGCCGCCGCCGUAACAC
rnacentral:rRNA from 1 species